UUCUGCCUCAGCUCUGAGCCCCUCAGAGUGGGGCCAGGGAAGAAGCAGACGGCAACGCCAGGGCAGCUGUCUGGCAGCCUGGAAGGCCUGCGAAGCUUCCUAGGGGUCCGAAGGAGGGUAGACAGGCACGGGGCUCACCACAAUCCUUCGGAUGGAACCACAGGAAGAGAAGAAGCAUGUUUCACCCUGGGCUGGGGGUGCUUCCCAAAGCCACUGGGGCCCUUUUCCCAAGCCCCAGAACUGAGCCCACCUGAACUCAUCUUGAAAUUAGCCAGGCGUGGUGGCGGGCGCCUGGAAUCCCAGCUACUCGGGAGGCUGAGGCAGGAAAAUCGCUUGAACUAGAGAGGCGGAGGUGGCAGUGAGCGGAGAUCACGGCAUUGCACUCCAGCCUGGGCGACAGGGUGAGACUACAUCUCAAAAACAAAAAACUAAAAUAAUAAAAUUUUACAGGAAGAGAAACUAUGGCCACAGUGGGGAGUGGCAUGACUCCCUAAGCAAGUUCAGGUCAGACAGGGCAAAGAAUUCUGACUGCAGGGAGGAGGAAUGGCUGGUUUUCCAGAGAUAGAUCAGAACAACAGAAGCUCCCUGUGCUCCAGCCUCGGCUGUGGUGCACUGACCUCUCACCCCAGGCAGGCUGAAGAGGAAACCCCUGCAGAGGUGGCCUUGGACACCUGGUUCCUGGAAGCAGCUGGCUGCCGUCAUCUGCAGGGCCUGCAGUUCCACCGCACCCUAUGGCCCCCUGGGGUCACAGCCUCCCACAUCCGCUAACCAGCCUCAUCACUUGUUUCCGCCAGCAAACCACACUAGGGUCAGUGGAGGACAAAGGUCUCAGGAGCUGAGCACGUCGGGCUGCCGUGAGGCUGACAGAAGCAGCCCAGCAGAGCCCUGGCCAGCCAGGGUGCCAGCU
rnacentral:lncRNA from 1 species